UUUGUGAUUAUUUUCUUUUCCCCUCCCUCCCCUCUCUCUCCUUCCCUCCCCCUUUCGCCGCGCUGACAAUGAGCUCCGCAGGCUCCUGUGCCCGCCUGGGAAUCGGCUGCAGACGCCGUGGCCCCGGGUCCGCCACAGGUUGCCCUCGGCUUCCCUCGGCACAGUGCCCUGGGGUCCACCAGAUGUCUCCGCUGAAUUGGGGCCGUAGUGUGCUGUUGGCGGUGUGGUCACUAAGUGUCGCUCUCGGACGGGUGAUGUGUGGACGAAACACAGUGUGAGGGAGAAGACAAGUCUCACACGUGCGUGUCAACACCAGAUCGUCACGAUUUGAAGCUACAGAUGGAUCUGAGCUCACGGGUGAAGUCCACUCGGAAAAUGCGCUCCAAGGACGAAGGGGAGCUGGAUGGGCCACGCACGAAAAUGAUAUAACUACAAAAUGAAACACUUUGAAAAUAAUGAAAUGGGUGGACCAAGGUAAAUCAGGAAAUUAAACAGAAAGAUGUCAGAGGAGCAACGUAA